rnacentral:rRNA from 1 species
AUACAGAGGGUGCGAGCGUUAAUCGGAAUUACUGGGCGUAAAGCGCGCGUAGGCGGUCUAUUAAGUCAGAUGUGAAAUCCCAGGGCUCAACCUUGGAACUGCAUCUGAUACUGGUAGACUAGAGUUUUGGAGAGGGAAGUAGAAUUUCAGGUGUAGCGGUGAAAUGCAUAGAGAGCUGAAGGAAUACCAGUGGCGAAGGCGACUUCCUGGCCAAAAACUGACGCUGAGGUGCGAAAGCGUGGGUAGCAAACGGGAUUAGAAACCCUAGUAGUCC